rnacentral:tRNA from 1 species
UGCAGCUCAGUGGUAGAGCAUUUGCUUAGCAUGCACGAGUCCCUGGGUUCAACCCUCAAUACUGUAA